AGAACGAACGCUGGCGGCGUGGAUAAGACAUGCAAGUCGGACGGGAACUUUUGUUGUAGCAAUACAGUGGAAGUUUUAGUGGCGAACGGGUGCGUAACACGUGGGCAAUUUGCCUUAAAGUGUGGGAUAGCUCGGCGAAAGCCGGAUUAAUACCGCAUGUGGCUACUGGAGACAUCUUCGGGACGCUAAAGGUGGCGCAAGCUACCGCUUUUUGAGAAGCCCGCGGCCUAUCAGCUUGUUGGUGAGGUAACGGCUCACCAAGGCGUUGACGGGUAGCUGGUCUGAGAGGACGACCAGCCACAUUGGGACUGAGACACGGCCCAAACUCCUACGGGAGGCAGCAGUGGGGAAUAUUGGACAAUGGGCGCAAGCCUGAUCCAGCCAUGCCGCGUGAGUGAUGAAGGCCCUAGGGUUGUAAAGCUCUUUGUGCGGGAAGAUAAUGACGGUACCGCAAGAAUAAGCCCCGGCUAACUUCGUGCCAGCACGCCGC
rnacentral:rRNA from 1 species